rnacentral:ncRNA from 1 species
GUAAAGGCAAUGAACGUGCACAGUAAGAUUCUAUUUUCCUGACAGAGAGGGAAGCCCACCGGCUGAAAAGCUUCCUGAGGUUCAAGCAGAAUCGAAAUUCCCACGCGAGCCGCAUACCGGAAGAAUUCGAGAGCAGAGAUCAUGGAUUUGGUAGGGUAUGACGUUUCCUCACUCGUUACGUGAGUUAAGAGUCUUAUCGUGAAUGUAAAAAUAAUUUUCAUUUUUCACAUAAGGAAUUUGGGUGGUACCGCGGAUAUAAAUUCGUCCCAAUG